UACGAAGGGUGCAAGCGUUACUCGGAAUUACUGGGCGUAAAGCGUGCGUAGGUGGUUGUUUAAGUCUGCUGUGAAAGCCCUGGGCUCAACCUGGGAAUUGCAGUGGAUACUGGGCGACUAGAGUGUGGUAGAGGAUAGUGGAAUUUCCGGUGUAGCAGUGAAAUGCGUAGAGAUCGGAAGGAACAUCUGUGGCGAAGGCGACUAUCUGGGCCAACACUGACACUGAGGCACGAAAGCGUGGG
rnacentral:rRNA from 1 species